rnacentral:ncRNA from 1 species
CCGUCACAACGGCUUCCUGGCGUGACGGCAUUAUUUCAGUGGAGCA